GACGAACGCUGGCGGCGUGCUUAACACAUGCAAGUCGAACGGAAAGGCCCUGCUUUUGUGGGGUGCUCGAGUGGCGAACGGGUGAGUAACACGUGAGUAACCUGCCCUUGACUUUGGGAUAACUUCAGGAAACUGGGGCUAAUACCGGAUAGGAGCUCCUGCUGCAUGGUGGGGGUUGGAAAGUUUCGGCGGUUGGGGAUGGACUCGCGGCUUAUCAGCUUGUUGGUGGGGUAGUGGCUUACCAAGGCUUUGACGGGUAGCCGGCCUGAGAGGGUGACCGGACACAUUGGGACUGGAAUACGGCUCAGACUCCUACGGGAGGCAGCAGUGGGGAAUAUUGCACAAUGGGAGGGAGCCUGAUCUAGCAACGCCGCGUGCGGGAUGACGGCCUUCGGGUUGUAAACCGCUUUCGCCUGUGACGAAGCGUGAGUGACGGUAAUGGGUAAAGAAGCACCGGCUAACUACGUG
rnacentral:rRNA from 1 species